rnacentral:rRNA from 1 species
UACGUAGGGGGCUAGCGUUGUUCGGAAUUACUGGGCGUAAAGCGCACGUAGGCGGAUAUUUAAGUCAGGGGUGAAAUCCCGGGGCUCAACCCCGGAACUGCCUUUGAUACUGGGUAUCUCGAGUCCGAGAGAGGUGAGUGGAAUUCCGAGUGUAGAGGUGAAAUUCGUAGAUAUUCGGAGGAACACCAGUGGCGAAGGCGGCUCACUGGCUCGGUACUGACGCUGAGGAGCGAAAGCGUGGGGAGCGAACAGG